UGGGGAAUCUUGGACAAUGGGGGCAACCCUGAUCCAGCCAUGCCGCGUGAGUGAUGAAGGCCUUAGGGUCGUAAAGCUCUUUCGCCUGUGAAGAUAAUGACGGUAGCAGGUAAAGAAACCCCGGCUAACUCCGUGCCAGCAGCCGCGGUAAUACGGAGGGGGCAAGCGUUAUUCGGAAUUACUGGGCGUAAAGCGCACGUAGGCGGACCAGAAAGUUGGGGUGAAAUCCCGGGGCUCAACCCCGGAACUGCCUCCAAAACUAUUGGUCUAGAGUUCGAGAGAGGUGAGUGGAAUUCCAAGUGUAGAGGUGAAAUUCGUAGAUAUUUGGAGGAACACCAGUGGCGAAGGCGGCUCACUGGCUCGAUACUGACGCUGAGGUGCGAAAGUGUGGGGAGCAAACAGGAUUAGAUACCCUGGUAGUCCACACCGUAAAACGAUGAAUGCCAGUCGUCGGGUAGCAUGCUAUUCGGUGACACACCUAACGGAUUAAGCAUUCCGCCUGGGGAGUACGGUCGCAAGAUUAAAA
rnacentral:rRNA from 1 species